rnacentral:lncRNA from 1 species
GUUCUGUCAGCUGACCUCUGCAGAAGGGAAUUGCUAACCGCUGCCUUGCUCCUUAGCUGACAAAUGAAUGAUCGCAGCUCCAUCUAUUUUCACUAUGGCUGCCUCUAGCCCAGGUGCUCAGACAGAGAGCCCGGUGUGACAUCUUAGAUCAAGAUGAAUUGGCACAAACUCCUGAUCCAAGAUUGUUUUAUACCAUUUAAUUUAGUUUCUUCCCCUGCUUGGAUGAGCACAGCUCUGGUUAUGGAUUUCUAUUCUAAUGUACUGAAGCAGGCCCUGAAAGAAGCCAAUGAAGCAGCUGCUGGAGCAGGGGACUGCAGGGAUACUGAUCAAUAGGCAAGGCAUUGACCCCAGCCGUUCAGCCUCUGCAACGGCCACUGCUUGAAGGGGGAAGGGGGGCGGGGGGCAGAAGCACACAUGGGCUGCUUCCAGUAGGAAAUUAAACAACAGGGGCAUUUGGAGAGCUCCGCCUCUAGCCCUGGUCCCCCACCUUCCCUCUGUUCCUUUUGUUUAAUUGCCUCAAUCUUGUCUUAACUCCCACUUCUCGGGAAGGAAUUAAGACUUUAGGGAAGUUUUAAUAAUGUACGUUAAAACAGCCAUUUGUAAAUUUUAUCCUGAAGCUAAUAGAAAGGAUCAUAACAGGUGCUCUCUGCUAAGUGGCCAAAAUAUGAAAUCUUAAUUAGCUGUCAAGUAUAUCACUUGGUGUAAUUUAAAGUUCAGCAUGUGCACAGGCUCAUAAGAACACUGUCCAACUGGUUAUUAAUACUACUGAUGCUGAAAUUCUAUGCUAUCUAAUUUUUAUCAGUAUCCAGGUCUGAACACAUCAUAGCUCUUUGUUAACAAGGAGUAAGAGGAAGAAAAGGGAUCCCCUAAAAGAGACACUGACUGAUUAGUGACUGUAUUAAGUACGGCGGCCCAUCCCUACUACUAUUCCAACCGUAACAUACCCCAAUUUCUGAUUCUUUAAUUUUUUAGAUUUGAAGACAUUUAAAAUUAGUGGCUUUGCCUGGGUUUGCUCUUAAAUAAUACAAGACAAUAUGCAAUUAGCUGAAAUGUUUUCCUAUAAGUGAUAAUCAAAUGGGAGAUUUUGAAAUAUUAAAAGUAAAAUAAUUCUAUAAAAGUAGACCUUUCUACAGUUUCAUUUGUCUCAUGAAAAUUUGGUAUUUUUUCACAGAGACAUGCCUCCAUUUAAUCAUGCUAAAGGGUGACAUGGAGAUCCAUUUUCUUGACAGGACGGUUGAUCACCCUAUCACAGUAAGAAAAUUAAUACCUUCGACUGGCCCUGUGUGGAAAACAGAAGCUGCAU